rnacentral:SRP_RNA from 1 species
ACCAGGCACUGUGGCGUGUGCCUAUAGUCCCAGCUAUGCCUGAUGCUGAGGUGGGAAGAUCACUUGAGCCCAGGAGUUCUGGGCUGUAGUGCGCUAUGCCGAUCGGGUGUCCAUACUAAGUUCGACAUCAAUAAGGUGACCUCCCAGGAGCAGGGGACCACCAGCUUGCCUAAGUGGGGGUGAACUGGCCCAGGUCGGAAGUGGAGCAGGUCAAAACUCCCAGGCUGAUCAGUAGUGGGAUUGCGCUUCUGAAUAGCCACUGCACUCUGGCCUGGGCAACAUAGCAAGACCCUGUCUCU